AUUCAGUUGACGAGUUUCAAAUAAGACGAAACAUGCGUCCUGAAC
rfam:Schistosoma mansoni, Puerto Rico, WGS project CABG01000000 data, contig: 0071